rnacentral:rRNA from 1 species
UACAGAGGUCUCAAGCGUUGUUCGGAUUCAUUGGGCGUAAAGGGUGCGUAGGCGGCGCGGUAAGUCGGGUGUGAAAUCUUGGAGCUUAACUCCGAAACUGCAUUCGAUACUGCCGUGCUUGAGGACUGGAGAGGAGACUGGAAUUUACGGUGUAGCGGUGAAAUGCGUAGAUAUCGUAAGGAAGACCAGUGGCGAAGGCGGGUCUCUGGACAGUUCCUGACGCUCAUGCACGAAGGCCAGGGGAGCAAACGGG